rnacentral:rRNA from 1 species
UACGAAGGGGGCUAGCGUUGCUCGGAAUGACUGGGCGUAAAGGGCGCGUAGGCGGAUGGCACAGUCAGAUGUGAAAUUCCCGGGCUUAACCUGGGGGCUGCAUUUGAUACGUGUUGUCUUGAGUUCGGAAGAGGGUCGUGGAAUUCCCAGUGUAGAGGUGAAAUUCGUAGAUAUUGGGGUAAGAACACCGGGUGGCGAAGGCGGCUAUCUGGACCGUAACUGACGCUGAGGCGCGAAAGCGUGGGGGAGCAAACAGGG